UCUUCGUACAAAUUGAGAAACCCAGCCGUAGGAGAAUUUCACUUCUCACUACAAUUCUGUAAAUCACAUUAGAAAGAUUUCUGUUCCCAUAAGCUAGGUAGUACAAAUAACUAACCCGUAAUCUUGACAUAAUAUUGUAAUCAAAAGGUGCCUCACUGAUAAAAAGGCAAUAUUAUAUUUAGAUAUUUCUUUAGUCGAUGUACAUAUAGAAAAUCUAGUGAGAGCUCUCCAUUCAUAAACUUGGUUCAUUUCGUGUUGAGCAGUGAAAAUAGUCAGUCAGCGAGUUUCAAUUCAAGCUUAGACCGUAGCAUCGAAACACAAGCGGCUAACGUGUCAAAGAGUGAACACGAAUCGAUAACGGCGGCCUGCCUCCAUUCACUAAAAAUUUAGACCGACAGACGAUCCAGUACAGCUAAAAUGGCGACUGAGGGCGGACUGGCGCCAGGCGGCGGCGACGGAGAUAUGCCAGUGGGCGGGCCCAAGACGCCGCAACAGAUCGCGGCACAGCGUCGUCUGCAGCAGACGCAAGCUCAAGUUGACGAGGUUGUUGACAUCAUGAAAACCAAUGUGGAGAAAGUGUUGGAGAGAGACCAGAAACUUUCUGAACUCGAUGAUAGAGCCGAUGCACUUCAGCAGGGGGCCUCGCAAUUCGAACAACAGGCUGGCAAACUGAAGAGCAAGUUUUGGCUGCAGAAUUUAAAGAUGAUGAUUAUCGCAGCGGUAAUCGGAAUCAUCAUACUGGCCCUGAUUAUUGCCAACUUUGUGUGAACAAGUUUCGGUAACCGAAGUUUCAUUUAAAAGUUACUUGUUAUAAUAUUAAUGAAUAAUCAUAAUAAAGUAUGUUGUUAAUUUAUUUAAUUACGUCAUUGGUACCUACUAAGCCUAUUUUGGUCUGUAAACACUCGGUUCCUGAGGAGAUAAUCCAGAUACCAAAUUACAUCGUCAAACCAAUCACGCUCCCUGGGAAAAGAACGGCGAAUAUUUUUAACUAAAAUUUAGAAUUAAACAAUUGGCUGCUACUGAAUUAGUAACAUCUCUCAGGCUGUUGGACGAAACGUCUCUUUUAUUUUCAAAUAUCCCACACACAAUCCAAGAGUAGCGUCAAGUUAUAGGGAUAGGGCUUAGCGGGCAUUGCAUGUAAUAAAACAUAUUGGAACACUAAAUAUCAAUAUCAAAUCGGAUUUUUAACUUUGUAACUAUAUCAAUUAACAAUUGUACCUAAAUAUAUGGAAUAAUAUCCUUGAAAUAUUUUAGAACUGUUGUCAAUAUCUAACCCACCGUUUCUUGUAUAGAGUAUUUUUAGAUGGUCUUUCUUUGUUAAAACUUUACCAAAAAAUGACUAAUUUAUAGAAACGGGUACUUGCUAAUAUUUACUACGUACCUAUAUCUACUUACAUAUUUAAAUAAGGCUUAUCAAAACCACAUUUCGAAGAUUUAAAAUUGUGUUCAGAGAAUAACUACAUAUGUGUACGUAUAUCAAAAUAAAACAUUUUAUUUUGUUAUAUUGGACCAAGUUUCUAAAGAAUUGUGUAACAGUUUAUUCUUGUACUUUAUAUAUUUUUUAUUUCUGAACAAUUUAAUUGUUAAUCUUUGACAAUUUAUCUGGCAGACUAUAAUGCGUUUGACUUUGCCUUUAUUAUCUAUCUAGACUUUGUAAUCCCAUUUUUAGAUGUUGAACAUGAACAUAGUUGAUUAGUUUUAGUAGUAAGUUAUAUGAUGGUCUCUAGUCAAUCAUUUAUUUUCAUAUAAACCAGUUUACUUGUUAUACUAGUCACUGAUAAUUAGGUAUUCAUCCAUCAUACACUGUCAAAAAAUAACCCAAAGCAAUAAUAAUUGUUGGUAUUUAUAGACAUAGUUAAUCAAACAAGAAACACCAAUAAGUUCACGAACGCUAGCGUAGUCACUAGAUUUUGCAGAAAUAUUUUCUUAAUUAUAAGCAUGUUAGCAGUUUUUUAAGUAGUAUAUUCACUUAUAUAGCAAUUUCAAUUUAGAAGCGAGAAUUUGUAUUUAAACCGUUGUUUACAUUUGCUGCGAAUAGAAAUACAAAUAUAAUACGAAAUUGAACCUAAGAACCCCUAUCUAAGUAUUCAACAAGAAGUUCCGUAAUCUACCAUUAAUUUCACAUCAAAACAUACUAAUAUAGGUAGCCACUUAAAUGUAUCUGGCCAGUGUUUUUAAUGUUUACCCUUACUAUAUAUAUAACGUAUCUUUAAACUAUUUAUCUUUUUCUGUGUGUGUAUUACACUUACUGUACGUAAAACAGUUUAAAAAAUAGUGAGAAAAUGUUAAAAAAAAUAAGAUUGAUUAAUAGGUGUUUUAAUUGUAGCCACACAUAAGUUAUCGUCUUUUUAUAAACGUGCUAAGUAUACGCAUCAAUAGUGCUUAAAGAUCGGGCGUACGAAAGCAGUCAUUCUAAGUACCUACUAACAAUACUUAGUGUUUUAAUCUUAAAAGUAGAGUUAAUGAAUUACUUAUAUGUCAUGUUUUUCUAUUAAUUAUGUUGCUUAUGAUACAUAUAAAAUAUCUAUCGCGACUAUGCACGGCGAUUUCCCUUAUAAAUUACGUGCUGUAUAAGCCCGAUAUUUAAAUAUUAUUGACGCUUGUGUUAAAUGGAUAUAAUUAAAUUAGGAAUUAGCUAGGAAAGAGUUGUCACGUGGAAAAUCGCAGUGUUAAUUUUAGAGCGACACUAUCAAAACAUGGUUAUACGCCAAAAAUUAAACAUAUAGGACUGUACUGAAGCGUUCAAUAAAUCUUUAGUAAACAAAAAGAUCCUUGACAAUGAUCAAUCUGAGCCAGAAAUGAUAAUGUUAAUUUAUUUCAAGCGUUGUGUUGUCGGAAAUUGUAAAGAACGUCACGAAAUGUUUUCUUGAAUAAUUAAUAAUUUAUUUCGGGCAAAAUUUGUUUUGUCUCAUAGGCCAUCUCACAUACCAAUAAUGUUGGAUCCCAUAGUAAUAUCUCAUAAACCUUUGCACAGUCACGUCAGAUACCUUAUUUCGCGUAAACGCCAGCACAGGUAGGGUCGCUUUAAAAUCAACUAUUGACAUUUCCAAUGAAAAUUGUUAUAUAGACGGUAGGCAACAAAUGUGCGGUUAGUCGAUCUAUUGCUCCUAUAAGGUAUCCCUCAAGGACAAACACACAGCAUUAAUAAAGGGAAAUUACCGAGAGCCAAUAUAUGGCUUAUGUUGAUAGCCAUUUAAGCCGGGUCUCAUAAGCGUGUUUUGCUCUACACAAUACAUAAAAGUAUAUUCACCAAAUACUUUGUUUGCAUGCUCGUGGCAAAUCUAGCUCGCGUAUUAUGUGGGUGAACAUACUAGGUAUAGCUCAAACGAAGAAGGAGCGCAAUUGAGUCGCUAGCGGGAGUAAUUAUUAUAAAAAAUGUAAAUGCGCAUUUCAUUUCAAUCUUAUCUAAUGAAAAGUGGCGAUGAGGUCGACCAAGGAGCAUACACACCUAAAUAAUGCCUAUUGAAUCUCGCCUUGAAAAGGGCCAUGUUACAGCGUUCAGGGAAUAAGUCUCCAUUCAGGGAAUUCCACUCCAUAGCCGUUCCAUAUAGAGCCAUAUAUAUAAAUGUGGAAGCGUAACGCUUCGUGCGAAUCUUUGGAAUUACUACAAUAUAGGGGUGAAAUCCCAGCCUACGUCUAGUCCCACGAUGAAGGAAAGGGGGAGGCGAGUUGUUAACUAAUUAUUGGUUAACAUAUUAUAAUCAAUAAAUGUGUCGAGGAUUAUAGCGAACCAAAGUAUUGUCCUAUAUUGACAGCAAAACCCGCGCUGGAGACCCGACUAUAGAAAAAAAUAUUUUUAGCGCUUAGUGUAGUAAGAAAAUGCCUCGUUUUUUGAAACGCAAUAAUAAUAGUGUUUUAAUAUCUGAAAUAAAUAUAAAUAAGGGUACUCCUAACGGGCCUGAAAAAAGUUCAAUAAUCAUAAACCGACAUAUUACAAUUACUACUCAUAUAAACAAUCGCACACCAUAUAUAUUAUACUUAUUAUAAUAAAGUACCUAUAUCGACACUGUGUAACGAUGAGUUCUAAUAUCUCUAAAGUUAGUAUAUAGCUAAAUUAGACCUCACAAUUUGUUCGAUCAAACUGAAACCGCCUAAAGUUCUGCUCUAUACAAUGUUUUGUGCUUACCGUAUAAAUAUUGUGUUUUGGAAAUUGAGGCUGAAAUUACAUUCACUGUAAGGUAUUUGAAACCACACCAGAAAAUAUAUAUUAAAUUAGUUAUACACAAUGUAACAAAACAGUUCGUUCGUAAUUCAGUUGGUGACGAUCUGUAAACGUGUAUAUAAUUUGAGCCAUAAAAUAUUGGCAUGGAGAACAUAAUAAUGGUAUGAAAUUUAAAAAUAGUGGGCUAAAGUUUUUCGUUGACCCGAGAUCACCAGCUGAAAUAUGGUCAAACCCCUGUGUUACCAGUGAAUAAGAUAGAUUUUAAUGGAUUUAAGGAUUUAAAAGUAUUGGUUUUUAUCUUAAGAAAACGAUUGAUUUUACCGCUAAUAAUUCACACGAGUUAUACGUAUACAAUAAGCUACAUAAUUACGUGCUCACAAAUAGGUAUAGCGAGGUUUCGGGGUAGUCACCGUGUUAAUCCACAAUGCAGAAUUCCCCAAUUCAACGUUUUGGACGACCAGAACCUAAGAUAUGGGCUCACGCCCAAAAAAUAAAAUGUGCUUUAUAAUAACUGCUCGUUGAAAACCAUUUGAUGAUCUCAAGUCGUAUACUUAAUCACCAUGACGUCGUCGGUAGCCUAAUAGCUUGCACUGUGGGCGCUGAAUGUCGAGGUCCCGGGAACGAUUCCCGGUAGGACCAAUUUGGGAAAUGAACUUUUCUAAAUUAAUUCUAGUCUGAAAUAAAUUUUCAGUCUGCAAAAAUUUUGGUACUCACAGUACAGAGAAUUUCAUAGUCUAAGAUCAGGUAAUAGACGUUAGCUGCCUGGCACAUUAUAUUUAAAAUAAAUCGUUAUUGUGUACCUGCAUAAAUUAAUACUUUUAAAGCUUUAAUUAUAUUAAUAAUAGAAUAUAAUAUAGUAAUAUUUAUAAUAGUUUAUUUUAGCUGUUAUCUUCAUGUUAUUUAUUCGAAAUAUAACAAUUAGUUAAACCAUCUACAAUAACCUCUUUAUAGUUCAUCAUUACAUGAAUUCGAAUUGAUGUACUUAGAUAUUCAAUAACAUUAAACCUUUACUACCUUGGCAUAGUUGAAUCAGGAAUUAUAAUGAGAUCGUUUAAAAGACUCUGAGUAGAUCCUGUCUAUGAAUACAUAAAAUUUCUGUUUUACUUUUCCUACAUGUCUCUAAAAAAUAAAUUCCCAAUAAGAGAUAUACCAAACCUACCUACAAGGCUAAUAAAGUAUAUAAAUGUAUUCAAAAGACAAGAUUUUUUUGUUUAAAUCAAAUUUAGACAAAAACAAACUCUAUUUAUUUUGGGCUUUGAACGUGUCAGCCCCAUUAGAAACAUACAUCAACAAAAACAUUUAAUAGAAUUUAAACAGAUUACUCGAAAUACUACCUAACCAAACAUGUAUACAAAAUCUUCGUGGCGCUACUUGUUGACUCCUAUGAAAUAAAUUGAAAUAACCAAAACCAAUCUGUACUACUGUUUUGCAAAUUAUGAAUAGGAUCGCCCCUUAAAACUCAUAAAAUGAAAUUAUACGCGUGAAGUGUUUAUUGUGCUUGUGAAUGUUUUAAUGAAACUUUAUAGGUACCUAACAAUGUGUAAAAAACACAUUUACAAAUAGCCAAUAACUUAGUUAUUUUAAAAAUUGAAAUUAGAGAGGCUACAUACGGCAGCUGUUAGCAGUGCGUCUGCAGCGAUUCAGUAGUGAUGUAGUCGCUAAUCGUCUACCUCUAACACACACGCGUGACAACCGCAAUGCCAACGCGGUGCAAUACCUAUGCGCGUUUAUUAAACUGAUAGAUAUUAUUUCAAAUUCGGUGUUAGUAUUAAUGAGACUCACUGUCACAAAGUUAAAUGACAAGUUAAUGCAAAACGCCCCGUAUCCUAAACAAAAAGCAAAGGGUACCUAUUCAAAAAAUGAAGUAUCAAAAGUUUUACAACUGAUCAUCGAAAGACAGCUCAUGAUUUAACUAUUGACAUUGUUUCAUUCACAUAACGAACUUAUAAUUUUACUAGAUAAUAUUACUAAUAAUAAGUAUUUAUUUAGAAAACUUAACAUGUUGAAACGAAUAUAAAAUGUUAUAUUCCUACCUCGAAUAACUAUUAACGACACUAUCAUUAUAUUACAAAUCACUACUUAGACAAAUAUUGUCACAGCCUCAUAAAUUUGAAUCAAUAGGUUGUUAGAAUGUAAAUAAUUUCAUUUCUUGUAUCGAAAUUCAAGCAAUCUUUAAGCACCCAUAUAUUGUGUCUCAUCAAAAAAAGAUUAACUAUUGAAUGUUAGGUUAUAUGGUAUGUAAACCGUAUAAAGUAUGUAAUUAUUGCUUCAGUAAAAUAAAGCAACUUUGAAUAAAAAGU